rnacentral:lncRNA from 1 species
GUCUUACCUAGGUAGUCUCUGAGGUAGAGCACACAAUUCCCUGGUGGAAUUUUGUCUCCUACAGCAGUAGGAAUUCAUGAAGUUCUUAUUUAUUCACAGGUAGUGAGUGUGCAUAUGGCAACUACCAUGAAAUAUCUUUGGAAGGAAUGCCAGAUGCAGAUGGAGUAGCCAGCACUCCCUCCCUCAAUGUUCAGGAGCCAUGCUCUCCAGCCAUAUCCAGUGAAGCAUUUACUCCAAAGGAGAGCUCUCCUUACAAAGUUCCCAUCUACAUCCCUGAUGACAUCCCCAUUCCAGCUGAGUUUGAACUUCGAGAGUCAAAUAUGCCCGGAGCAGGACUAGGAAUAUGGACCAAAAGGAAGAUUGAAGUAGGUGAAAAGUUUGGACCUUAUGUGGGAGAGCAGAGGUCAAACCUGAAAGACCCCAGUCAUGGAUGGGAGCUUUAGAGGCAAAAUUCAAAGAGCAGAAAAAAGAAUGAUCUAACGGCAGCAGCACAGAGAACUGGAGUCCACAGCCUUUCUUCAUCACUGCACAGUGUCUUCCAAGGUGAGAGCACACAGGGGGCUCAGGACGGCCAAUAAAUGCUGGGCAGAGAACUGUUUUUCUCUUAAAAGACAGAAAUGGGAAUAGAAUAUCUCCUGUAAACAUUCUUGGAUCUCUGAAUUUUUAUGGGUUAUAUCACAGUCUGAGCUAUAGAAGUUAAAG